UUUUGGGAAGGGUUUCUAGUGUAAGCUUGGAGUUUGACUCUGAGAUUGAUUAGAAAAACUUGUUUUUAUUUGUUAGRAUUUGAUUUAUCAAAUUYGUUAAUAACUUCUUAGAGGGACACUUGGUGUUUAACCAAGGGAAGUCUGAGGCAAUAACAGGUCUGUGAUGCCCUUUAGAUGUUCUGGGCUGCACGCGCGCUACACUGAUACGAACAACGAGUACUGAAGCCCUCAUUCGAAAGGAUGGGGUAAACUUAUGAAAUCGUAUCGUGCUGGGGAUCGAUAAUUGCAAUUAUUUAUCGUGAACGAGGAAUUCCUAGUAAGCGCAAGUCAACAGCUUGCGCUGAUUACGUCCCUGCCCUUUGUACACACCGCCCGUCGCUCCUACCGAUGUUUGGUCCGGUGAAAUCUUAGGAUUCGUAACAUACACUUAUUAUCACUCUUGGGUGAAAAUGAGUUUGUUGUGG
rnacentral:rRNA from 1 species